rnacentral:rRNA from 1 species
UACGGAGGGUGCAAACGUUGCUCGGAAUCAUUGGGCGUAAAGCGCACGUAGGCGGCGCGUUAAGUCGGAUGUGAAAGCCCCGGGCUCAACCCGGGAAGUGCAUACGAAACUGGCGCGCUUGAAUAUGGAAGAGGGUCGCGGAAUUCCCGGUGUAGAGGUGAAAUUCGUAGAUAUCGGGAGGAACACCAGUGGCGAAGGCGGCGACCUGGGCCAAUAUUGACGCUGAGGUGCGAAAGCGUGGGGAGCGAACAGG